ACAGAAGACACGACCCUAAUCUGUCUCUGUAAGAGAGAAGAAGUGUAUGAGGCUUGGAGAAUCGGCGUGACAUUAUUCAAUUUAUUCACGGUUCUUCUUUGGACCACAUUUCUUUAACGCCUUUUGUUUGUCAUUCGUUCUUUUUCCCUUACUCGUUUUCAAUGUCGACCCACAUACUUUCGCUUAAUUGUAAAACAGACUUCUCUUAAACAUAUUAUAUCUCUUAUCCACCCCCAAGCCUCCUUCACGUUCUCCUCACUCUUCUAUAUAAAAGACCGUCUUCUUCUUCAUUGAUGAGACCGACUACACGAUAAAACCCUAGCUGCAUAAAAUUAAUUGAUAUUUUUUCCAUAAGUUCUCUCUCUUUUUCUAGAUCUGAUAUGAUGAAGUGUAUGGUGCACCGGCAUCUGAUGAAGCUGCCAGCAUGAUCUAGUUAACUUUAUUUCUCCGUUGUUUAUCCAUGACAAUGGAAAAGGGAUAAGUGUCGAUUAGAUCAUGUUCGUAGUUUCACCCGUUGACUGUCGCACCCUUAAACCCUAAUUUCCAUCAUUAAUUCCAUCUGAAAUUUCACAGUAGAUUUUCUAACUUUUGGUGUUUGAAUUUUAAAAGACCUAUGUUUCUCUUUUUAUCUGAUUUGGGAGAAUAAUCCACUUUUCUGUAUGUGUGUGUAUUUGCGCAUAGGGAUCCAAGGUUUUUUUUUUUAAAUGUUAGGGUUAUAAUUGCUUGCGUUAUUCUAUAGAAAACUCUAAAUCGUCCAAAUUAUAGCAAAUUGAGAUGAAAAACUCUAUUUACUUGGAAUCUCAAGAGAGUCUCCCAACUUAUUUUCACAAUUAUCUUUUAAGAAAAUUUCUGGUUUGUUUAUUUUAUUAGUUUGGCUAGGGCUUCUGAGGAAGUUGAAAGAAGUUACACACGAUUUAUGCAUAUCUCUUCGAGAAUCUAUAUAUUUUAUAUAUAUAUAUAUAUAUAACUAGAGAUUUAUGAAGUUAUUCUCUUCCUGGAGCUAAAUCUACUUUCAGAUUCUAAGUUUUAAAUAACUGAAAAUUUGCAAACUAAAUGGAAAAAAAAAAACAAUAGCCGACUGAAAUGAAUUUCCAGCGGUUUAUACAAUAGCAGAAAUGGUGGCUUACGCUUACCUAUAAGUUACUCCUGAGCAAAACUAUAGUUAGGCUUUAGAGAAUUGGCCUUAAAAUUCGUAUGUUUUAUGGGAUUCGAAUGCCUCAUGGAUCCAAUACUUGUGUUUAGAUAACGAGAAAAAUUAAAGAACGAUUCAAAUUAAACUUCAAAGAAAAAAUUGGACAAUUAAUUAAAUACUAAGGAAACAAAUGAAAAUUUUACUGGUUCAUCCCUGGAAAUGGGUGUAAUGGUCCCCUUCCAAAACCUACUCAUAAAACUAGUUAAUAUUUGUUUCAACUUUCGAAUCGCUACUUUUCAGUUAUAAACCAAAGCUAUAUACGCAAACUAUAUGUAAUCACCGAAACAUUUUCUUGCCUCAAUAAAUAUCUUGAGAAUAUUAAGUACAGAAGAAUCAUAAAAUCAUAAAUAUGUAUCAUCACCAAUCGUCAUCGUAUAUAGGUACGUCUAUUAUAGGAAUGAUAUGAUUCAGUUAAUGGGUUUCGGAACUUUGGCUUUUCUAUUUGAAUGGUAAAGCUCCACCGAAUGUACAUUUUUCUUCUUUUGUCUAAUAUAUAAAUGAGAUUCCAAGUUGCUAUCGUCUCUUUCAAACUUUCCUUUAGUGGUUUUAGUUCGUCAGUUACAAAACUUCUUCGUCCUUAUGUAAAUAGGUUACAUUUGUGGAUAUAUUUACACCAAAAUGUAUAAAUCUAGCUAUUCCGUUUCACAUUCAAUUUUCUCCAACCCUUACUUUUUCUUCUCCAAGAAAAGGCCAAUUUUUUUUUGCAUAAGUUGCUUCGUCUACACAUUUUUUUGGGUGCAAUCUACAUACUUUUUGGUAACUUUGCAAUCUACAUACUUAUAUAUAUAUAUAUAUAGUUUUUGUUUAGAAAGAUAUAUUAUACAUUUCGUUUAAAGAAAAGAUAUAUUAUACAUUUCGUUUAGCUCGAACCUGUAAGUUAGGUGAAGAAUUAUUUGAGAGUCUCUGGAAUGAAGAAGAAGCCAAUGGAUGAAGAAGAAGAAAUCAGAUCAAACUGUUAACGGCGGAUCACGAACGAAGAGCAAUAUCGUUUUUGGAGGCGAACCUAAAAUUCAAUCCUGAUCAUGUUCCUAAGAGUAAUAUAAAGAUGAAGGAGUUUUGAGUUCAGCCCAAUUCGUUUGGGCCUCGACUUUUCUCAUCAAUACUUGAGCCUAAUCUUCGCCGUGUCAUAGGAAAUUUGGGUAAGGAAACACUUGCAAGUGCACCGUCCCAGUCCUUGGCCAAGCCUAGUGAAUACAUUAGCCUUAAGCCCCUAAUUUUUUUAAAAAAGUUACAUUGAAAUAGGCUUCAAAAACAUAUUUUUUAGGUCCCCAAAUUUAUUCUUAAAAAAAAUUAGUUUGAAUAUAUAAUAAAUUGUUUAACGCCCCGUAAAUCUCAGGCCCUCUGUAGAUUCGCCCUGUCCAAAACAUAGGGAAACGAAGGAUUUUAUCUUUUCUAGAAAAAUUUCCAGCUUCUGCGUUCGUGUUCAUAACCAGGAGAAUCAACGACGAAGUAAGUCGAUUUUUAUCUGCAGAUGCAGCGGAAAAAUGCUUUGGAGUUACCAUAUCCAUGAAAACUUCAAAGAAUUUUCAAAAAAGCCAUGAUUUAAUUUUAUGAACUCUACAUAAAAACUUUUUAAUGGAGGUGUUCUUACAGAAGAAAGGCCUAGUUUAACAUUAACCGUUUUUUGCAGCGUCUUUUCUUUCACGAAUUCUAUAACAGUACGUAUUUUAUCAUGAACUUAAUAUAAAUUAAAAUAUUGUAUGAACUUUUGAAAUUGUGUUUAAAUGUAUAUUGACCGCGUCAAUUGUCUAAUUGUACAUCUGAUGUGGUAUCAUCAUUUAAAACGACAUCAUUUAGCUAUUUUUUAAAUAGUCAUUUAUAAAAAUUAAACCCACGCAAAAAAAACUCGGAUUAAACUACCUAAUCUACUCGACCGAAGCAAUUGAUUCACAUUUUUAGUGUAAAAACAUAUACAAUAAAAUGAAUUUCUCAUCUUAGGUGAGACUCGGAACCAAAGAAAAGGAUUAACUCAGUCAACAAUAAAUUUAACCACUUGAAAACCAAAUAUUUUGGUUAUCUAACCUAUACUAAAAGGGUUAUAUGAGGAGUAGGGAAGCUGUCCACGUCAGCCAAUUAAAUCAUCCAAUCACAGAUAGCAUUUUGACCACGUCAUUGAGGCAAUCUCGAGACUGAUUAAUAGUGGGCUUAUUUGUGUGGGUUUAAUUUAUUUUCCCAUGGCCCCAAAUUUCUCACAUUUAGCAAAAACCUAAUCUUCCUCCCAACUGAUUAAUCGUCUCUGGCCUUUCCUCUCCGUCGUUGUCGUUUCACUUCUGAGUCAUUUAACAUUUUCUUUACUCUCUCUUCUUUUAUGGUUUCGUUCCAACUCCCUACGUUUCUCCUCCUAUAUAAAGUCUUUUGUAUCAACCAAAAACCUACAGCCUCACGGAAAAAGACAAAACUACUGCUGCUAAAUCCACCAGACACUCUCCCGUCUACAGCUGUGCAGCCGAGGAGGUUUCAAGCAGUGGUUCCAUGGUCGGUGCUUUAGUGGCUACCUCCGACUGGUUUACUGAUGGCAGCCAGGGUUUGCAAACAAUGACAGAGACAGAGGAAGAUGUGGAAACCUGCGGAGGAGUAGGGUUCCGAACGGAGCUCAAAGUAUUCAUAUCAGCUUCCUAAGGUAUGGAUUUUAAAGUCUGUAAUAAAUUUGAAACUUCUUGCUACGGUUCAAGGUGUUGUUGUCUACCUUAUGCAGCAGGACAACGUCAAACGUUUUCCUUCCUUUGACCAUUCUAAUUAUAGCAUAUCUUCAGGUCGAUUAAGGACUAGAUUCACUAUAUCAUUGUUUGAGAAUGAGAUCAUUAACCUAAACUUUCAGGUUUAUAAUAUGUUCAAGCUCUGAUUACUUGCAGCUCUUCUAAUUCAUUGUUUAUUCUGCUUAAAUGCAUAUGCAACAACCGGAAUCAUGUGUAUAUGUUAUGUUUUGCAUGUAUUAGCUUUCGAAAAAGACUUUGCAAGUAGAGAUGUUGAAGCUUUUGCAUCUGUUGAUAAAUUCAUCGAAACCAGUGGUGGAGAUUCUGCUGAUAACAUCAGUUGGAUUUUAUAUGGCUUUUGAUGGAGUCAAUCUUCUUGGUCAUGAUACUUAAGAAAUAUUUGAACAGCAUUGUCUUCUAUGUGUUUAGUCCUUCGCUAUUGGAAACCGUUUAGCUGGUAGCGUAACAUAUGAAAGCUUGGUGAACAUAUGGGUUGUAUUCUCAUCACUAAGCCUUCUUCGCCUAGAUCUUCGUGGUCUCAUUGUUGGUUGAUGUGCGGCUGGGAAUCUGGGAAUAUACCAUCAAUCAUAAUCCCAACUGUUUAUAAAGACAAAGGAGAGGUCUAUUUGAAGAUCCUGAGAAUUGCCACAAAUAUGGAAUGGGUUAUGUUGCACUCUCCAUGGCCGUAAGUAGUCAUCUCACUUCUUCAAAGUUUUAUCGGUGUAUAUUUUAUUUUUGGCAUCAGCCACCAGCUAUACAUAUAUCAUACAGCUAUACAAUGAAGAAAUAAUAAUUUUCAAUUUAUAUAUUUUGUUUUCAAAAAGAAUUAUAACAAUCUUAGUUGUAACAGAUGUAGCUGAGAUUUUGUAACAUACACACAAUUCCCAAAAAUCACCAAGAACCCUUAUUGUUGCACACCUGAAAGAAUAGUUGAUCACGAGUAUGUUUCAAUGAAAAUCAUAAAUCUUCUUUCUGUAAAAAGAAAUAAAAACCCUUUGAAGACUGUUUACGAAGUUGCAGUCGAGUGCUUUGGUUUGGAGAUUUGAAUUACAGAGUUUCUUUAUCCUAUUAAGAGAUGAGUAUUUCUAGAGACAAUGAUUGUGACACACUACUUGAGAAAGACCAGGUUUUGUAGUAGAAAUUAUCUUUAAAACUCAAAUCUUUAUUGAAGACCAAGAUGAGUGUUUCUCUCGAAACUCAGAUUCUCACGCCGGAGAAGCCACUAAGUCUAAAGAAAAACUAUGUACUCAUGCUUGGUUGGUACUAUCCAAAACUCUAGAAACACGUUUUUGUGGUGUGUUUGGAAUGUUUUCAGGUUUGAUCUGAUUCCAUGAGGAGGAGAAGGAAUAGAACUUUCUUAUACUCUAGGAGAAUCACGGUUUUCAGAUCACAGACCGGUUUGUGCAAAUAUUUGCAGGAGAAGUUGUUGUGAAGAGUCUGAGAAACAUAGAUAAUGUUAUUCAUGUGCGGCUGCAAGAUUGGUUGAGGAUUGCACUCCAAACUCAUAGUUUUAACUAAGAUUAUUAUAGUUCUUUUUGAGAACAAAAUAUAUGAUUUUUAAUAGUAAUUUUUCCUCAUUGUGUGUAUGGUUAAUUUUUGGCAUCAGCCGUCAUGAUACAUAUAUGUACUUCAAUGUUAUCAGAUGAGAUCUGUUUGCAUAUGAAGUUAUUGACA